CACGAUAACGGCAAACCUGUCGAAAGGCAGGGACGCAAAGCUAGAGGGCCUUCCCGUAAGGAUGGCAGCCAGCUACCGAAA
rfam:Paenibacillus stellifer strain DSM 14472, complete genome.